rnacentral:lncRNA from 1 species
GCACAGGCUGUAUUUGGGCUUUCCUGCUGCAUUGAGAGGUCAGCAAGAUUGCCUUGGCUGGGAACCAAACUCAUCCUGGUUUCCUGUCUUGGGAUCUCAAGGGGCUAGAAUGAGCUGCUAUUCCAAGGGAGAGAAGAAAGCAACCCCAGGAAGCCUGGCCCCGAAGACUGUGAGGUAUGGUGGGGCCUUGCUGUGCUCUGGACUGGACAAGAGGCACCCUGGGCUCUGGACACAGCCAGAUCUUCAGCCAAUUGCAUCUCCGGCCCAGGGCAGGCCCUUUAUCUUAUAGCCCAGUGGUGCCUCUCUCCUCACCUAGGAAACAAAGCCAACAGGAUCUGCACCACCUCUGCCUCCCGGACAUUGGAAGGACUAAAUAAGAUCAGUGGCUGGUGUCCUGUCUCCAUCCUGCCUGGGAUAACACUGAAAAUCGCCUUAACUUCCUACGUCCUGAGACCUCAUUCCUAGAUGGAACGAGGAAUGGUAGCGACCACGAUCCUCCCCUCCCAGGAUCUGCGCCACAAGGGAAGAUCAGAACCUUCAGCUGCCAGAAGCACUGUGGCGGAAAUGUAGGUCCCCAUCCAGGCUGAUCUGAGCUUGGCUUUCUGGAGCACGCAAACCUCGAUGCACUGAACUGCUGCCGGACCUCACCUUGCCAGGCCCACUGUGCUCACACUCACACAUCGCUCCAUCCACUGGAGGCUGCAGAGGCAAGAUCCACCAAGAAGAUGGUCUUCCUGUCCAGGAUGCCCUUCCCUGAGAGAAGUGUAUUUAAUCUUAAAUUCAGAUGUUUGUUUGUCUACCCACUUAAAACACCCUGUUGAAUAAAAAUUACUCAAGGAACACAUGGAGGCUUUGUCCAUGUAAAAG